rnacentral:rRNA from 1 species
AUUGAACGCUGGCGGCAGGCCUAACACAUGCAAGUCGAGCGGAUGAAGGGAGCUUGCUCCUGGAUUCAGCGGCGGACGGGUGAGUAAUGCCUAGGAAUCUGCCUGGUAGUGGGGGAUAACGUCCGGAAACGGGCGCUAAUACCGCAUACGUCCUGAGGGAGAAAGUGGGGGUUCUUCGGACCUCACGCUAUCAGAUGAGCCUAGGUCGGAUUAGCUAGUUGGUGGGGUAAAGGCCUACCAAGGCGACGAUCCGUAACUGGUCUGAGAGGAUGAUCAGUCACACUGGAACUGAGACACGGUCCAGACUCCCACGGGAGGCAGCAGUGGGGAAUAUUGGACAAUGGGCGAAAGCCUGAUCCAGCCAUGCCGCGUGUGUGAAGAAGGUCUUCGGAUUGUAAAGCACUUUAAGUUGGGAGGAAGGGCAGUAAGUUAAUACCUUGCUGUUUUGACGUUACCAACAGAAUAAGCACCGGCUAACUUCGUG